CAGGCACCCCUCUUUUUUUCCUUAGUUGAGAUAUAAUUGACAUAUAACAUUAUAUUAGUUUUGGGUGUACAACAUAAUGAUUCAAUGUUUGUAUAAAUUGCAAAAAAGAUUACCACAAUAAAUCCAGUCAAUAUCCAAGUCAGCUUCCUUUUCUAUUUCCAAACUUACUCUUUCCAAGGCCCCUCUGCACUCCAGGAUAUCUCCUCUCCUUCCAGCAAAUGGAAACUUGGCUUUUAUUGCAUAGAGUAAUGCAGCUAUCAGGCAUGAAGAACUUCCUCAACUUCCUACCAUCUCACCCUCAAGUUAACCAUCUCCUCUGGGUUUGAGGCUAAAUCUCCCCAACGAGGCUCUAACUUGUACUUGCUCUAUAAGUUAACCCUUCUCUCUCCUGAAUUUUUGGUCUCUUCCUCUGUAUGGUUUUCUUGGCUGCAGCCUAUAUUAUGUGCCAGUUUCUCCCAUCAUAAUAAAUAAAAAUUCUUCUUCAAUCUUGCAUCCUUCUCUAGGUAGCACACCUUCUUUCUCUGUCCCAUGGUAGCGAGUAUUCUCACAAGUGUCCAUACUGUUUCCUCUAUUUCCUUAUCCCCAUUGCAGAGUAGGUUUCACACCCAUCACUGAAACUGCUCUCCCCAAGAUCAGCAUGGCUUUCUAACUGCCAAGCCCAACCAUCUGUCCUUCUUGAACUCUCUAGAUCAUACCACAGUGGAGUCUCUUAAAACCCCCUCCUCCUUUGAAUUCCAUGAGCCUUUCCUGUCCUUUCCUUUACUUUCCAUCUCUUUCCCGUCUCUUUUUCAGGGUUCAUUCACCAUCUUACCUCUUCAGAGCCGUUGGAUCCCAGAAUUAGCCCUUGGCUUGCUUCUUUCCUAUUCUACAUAUACUCUCAAGUCUCAGUGAUUCAUUUGUGAAGAACAAUCGAUAGCCAAGUGUCAGAGUAUCAAGAUUACUAACUUUUCAUCAGAAGAACUGGAUAAAUAAUGAGACUCACUAGAAGAGAAACUGAAGGUCAAUGUUAAGUGUAACCAGAUGUGUAGCUUUGGAAAAGGGAGUUAAGAAGAAAGAAGAAAACAAGAAUCCCCACUUCCACCACCAAGAGAGAACUGCGAACUGAGAACACUGAACAUUUUGGCACACGUCCUUUCAGAUGUCUAUCGGCUUAGCUAUUCUAUUUAGUUUCCUAUACGUCCUUUAGAUGAUAAAGAUGGGAUCAUAAUAAACAGCUUUGUGAUAUCAAGUUUUCACUUAAUGUAACAUGAACAUUUUUCUGUGUUAAGUCUUUUUCUACAAUACCAUAUAUAUUAGCUGAGUUCUAUUUUGUGGAUGUACCAUAAUUCAUUUAGCCCAUACCCCUUUUGCUAGAUUGCUUCAACUUUUUUGUUUUCACAAAGUAUAUGGCAAUGAGCAGUUUUGUAGAGAAAGCUUCGCACACAUGCAAAGCACACAUGCAUGAUACACAUUUUCCUUAUUUUUUUUUCAACUUGGAAACUUUUUUGAACGUUCAGCAGUCAUUCCAUGUUUGGCCAAUAGAGGGCAUUUUAGGCUUUCUCAGGGUAAGGCCUUAAAAGCCAUUUCUACAAUAUGGAAGAACAAAAAUAGUGGUUUUAUUGUGAAAUUGAUUCAAUUUUGGAUCUUUGGAAAUAACCAACCCCAAAGGAAGAAUCAAAGUCAUUUAUUUUUAUCUCUAACAAAACUACUUUGUCUCUCAGAUACACACCCACCCAAUAUUCGAACAAUGAACUGCUUUGUUAGGAUUUAAACCUAAAAUGAAUAAAAUUACCUCUUUUGCCCAA